CUUUUAUGAUGAUCAAACCUUUUCAAUAUCAGUUCUGCUUCUGAUACCCCUUGAAGAUAACCCUACCAAGCUUACCAUAUCUGACUU
rnacentral:snoRNA from 1 species